rnacentral:rRNA from 1 species
CAAUCGAACCCGGAGAUAGCUGGUUCUCCUCGAAAUAGCUUUAGGGCUAGCCUCGGUUGAGUCUUAUGGAGGUAGAGCACUGAAUUUCCGCGGGGGCGUCAAAGCUUACCAAAGAAUAUCAAACUCCGAAUGCCAGAAAGAUGAUGACCGGGAGUCAGACUGCACGAGAUAAGUUGGGUAGUCGAAAGGGAAAGAGCCCAGACCACCAGUUAAGGUCCCCAAAUACGUGUUAAGUGGAAAAGGAUGUGGGAUUUCGAAGACAACUAGGAUGUUGGCUCAGAAGCAGCCACACAUUCAAAGAGUGCGUAACAGCUCACUAGUCGAGAGGUCCUGCGCCGAAAAUGUCCGGGGCUAAACACAACACCGAAGCCUAGGAAUGUAUAUUAUACAUUGGUAGAGGAGCAUUCUUAGAGGCGUAGAAGCCAUACCGGAAGGAAUGGUGGAGUAAUAAGAAGAGAGAAUGCCGGAAUGAGUAGCGAGAAAGAGGUGAGAAUCCUCUUGGCCGAAUAUCUAAGGUUUCCUGAGUAAAGCUGAUCUACUCAGGGUAAGUCGGGGCCUAAGGCAAGGUCGAAAGACGUAGUCGAUGGAUAACAGGUACAGAUUCCUGUACUACAUAUAAUCAGAACUGUGGGGACACGGAGACUAAAACCGAACCCGGGAGGACAAAAACCGGGGCAAGCGAAGUACCUGUAUGGGAGGAAAAACCACCAUGCAAAGGGAAAACGUGAUGCGUACCGAAGUUUAGUAGGGAAGUCGGUUAGGGAGCCGUCAAGAAAAGCCGCUAUUGUGUUAUAUGUACCCGUACCGCAAACCGACACAGGUAGAUGAGGAGAGAAUCCUAAGGCCGGCGGGAGAAGCAUUGUUAAGGAACUCGGCAAAAUGACCCCGUAACUUCGGGAGAAGGGGUGCCCACGGGAGUGGGCCGCAGAGAAAAGGCUCAAGCAACUGUUUAGCAAAAACACAGGUCUAUGCGAAACCGAAAGGUAAAGUAUAUGGGCUGACGCCUGCCCGGUGCUGGAAGGUUAAGAGGAGAGGUUAGCGAAAGCGAAGCUUUGAAUUGAAGCCCCAGUAAACGGCGGCCGUAACUAUAACGGUCCUAAGGUAGCGAAAUUCCUUGUCGGGUAAGUUCCGACCCGCACGAAAGGCGUAAUGAUUUGAGCGCUGUCUCAACAAUGCACCCGGUGAAAUUGAAGUACCAGUGAAGAUGCUGGUUACCUGCGCCAGGACGGAAAGACCCCAUGGAGCUUUACUCCAGCUUGAUACCGGGAUUCGGUGUUACUCGUACAGGAUAGGUGGGAGGCUAAGAAGGAAGGACGCCAGUCUUUCCGGAGCCGCUGUUGGGAUACCACCCCUGUGGCACUGGAUUUCUAACCUACAUCCGUGAUCCGGAUGGGGGACAAUGUCAGGUGGGGAGUUUGACUGGGGCGGUCGCCUCCGAAAGAGUAUCGGAGGCGCUCAAAGGUUCCCUCAGAAUGGUCGGAAACCAUUCAAAGAGUGCAAAGGCAGAAGGGAGCUUGACUGCGACACCGACGGGUGGAGCAGGUACGAAAGUAGGACUUAGUGAUCCGGUGGUAUAAAGUGGGAUUGCCAUCGCUCAACGGAUAAAAGCUACCCUGGGGAUAACAGGCUUAUCACUCCCAAGAGUUCACAUCGACGGAGUGGUUUGGCACCUCGAUGUCGGCUCAUCGCAUCCUGGGGCUGUAGCAGGUCCCAAGGGUUGGGCUGUUCGCCCAUUAAAGCGGUACGCGAGCUGGGUU